AACACAUGCAAGUCGAACGAAGCAUACCGACGGAAGCCUUCGGGUGGAAGAUGGUAUGACUUAGUGGCGGACGGGUGAGUAACGCGUGAGCAACCUACCCUGCAAUGGGGGACAACAGCUGGAAACGGCUGCUAAUACCGCAUAAGACCCCGGAGUCGCAUGGCUCUGAGGUAAAAGGAUUUAUUCGAUGCAGGAUGGGCUCGCGUCCCAUUAGAUAGUUGGUGAGGUAACGGCUCACCAAGUCUGCGAUGGGUAGCCGACCUGAGAGGGUGAUCGGCCACACUGGAACUGAGACACGGUCCAGACUCCUACGGGAGGCAGCAGUGGGGAAUAUUGGGCAAUGGGCGAAAGCCUGACCCAGCAACGCCGCGUGAAGGAAGAAGGCCUUCGGGUUGUAAACUUCUGUCCUAUGAGACGAAAAAAAUGACGGUACCAUAGGAGGAAGCUCCGGCUAACUACGUGCCAGCAGCCGCGGUAAUACGUAGGGAGCGAGCGUUGUCCGGAAUUACUGGGCGUAAAGGGUGCGUAGGCGGUAAUGCAAGUCAGAUGUGAAAGACCGGGGCUUAACCCCGGGGGUGCAUUUGAAACUGUGUUACUUGAGUGCAGGAGAGGUAAGUGGAAUUCCUAGUGUAGCGGUGAAAUGCGUAGAUAUUAGGAGGAACACCAGUGGCGAAGGCGACUUACUGGACUGUAACUGACGCUGAGGCACGAAAGCGUGGGGAGCAAACAGGAUUAGAUACCCUGGUAGUCG
rnacentral:rRNA from 1 species